rnacentral:rRNA from 1 species
UACAGAGGGUGCGAGCGUUUGUUCGGAAUUAUUGGGCGUAAAGCGCAUGUAGGCGGCUUUGCAAGUCGCGUGUGAAAGCUCCAGGCUCAACCUGGAAAGUGCGCGCGAAACUGUGAGGCUUGAGUGCCGGAGAGGGUGGCGGAAUUCCCGGUGUAGAGGUGAAAUUCGUAGAUAUCGAGAAGAACACCGGUGGCGAAGGCGGCCAUCUGGACAGAUACUGACGCUGAGACGGCGAAAGCAUGGGGAGCGAACAGG